rnacentral:tRNA from 1 species
UAAUUGAAACCAAAAAGAGGUAUGUCACUGUUAAUGACAAAAUUGAAUUAUUUUCCAAUUAAA